CACUUAUCCAGAGAGGUGGAGGGACUGGCCCGAUGAAGCCCGGCAACCUGCGAUAUGCAAGGUGCUACUUCCUGCAAAAUGAUUCUAUUUUGAAAGAUAAGGA
rfam:Bacillus pumilus SAFR-032, complete genome.